GGAGCAAAUCCCUAAAAGCCGUCUCAGUUCAGAUUGCAGGCUGCAACCCGCCUGCAUGAAGUCGGAAUUGCUAGUAAUCGCGGAUCAGCAUGCCGCGGUGAAUACGUUCCCGGGCCUUGUACACACCGCCCGUCACACCAUGAGAGUCGGAAACACCCGAAGCCUGUAGUCCAACCGCAAGGGGGGCGCAGUCGAAGGUGGGUUCGAUAAUUGGGGUGAAGUCGUAACAAGGUAAC
rnacentral:rRNA from 1 species